rnacentral:rRNA from 1 species
GACGAACGCUGGCGGCGUGCCUAAUACAUGCAAGUAGAACGCUGAAGGAGGAGCUUGCUUCUCCGGAUGAGUUGCGAACGGGUGAGUAACGCGUAGGUAACCUGCCUGGUAGCGGGGGAUAACUAUUGGAAACGAUAGCUAAUACCGCAUAAGAGUAGAUGUUGCAUGACAUUUGCUUAAAAGGUGCAAUUGCAUCACUACCAGAUGGACCUGCGUUGUAUUAGCUAGUUGGUGGGGUAACGGCUCACCAAGGCGACGAUACAUAGCCGACCUGAGAGGGUGAUCGGCCACACUGGGACUGAGACACGGCCCAGACUCCUACGGGAGGCAGCAGUAGGGAAUCUUCGGCAAUGGACGGAAGUCUGACCGAGCAACGCCGCGUGAGUGAAGAAGGUUUUCGGAUCGUAAAGCUCUGUUGUAAGAGAAGAACGAGUGUGAGAGUGGAAAGUUCACACUGUGACGGUAUCUUACCAGAAAGAGACGGCUAACUACGUG